CCUACGGGAGGCUGCAGUGAGGAAUAUUGGUCAAUGGACGAGAGUCUGAACCAGCCAAGUAGCGUGAAGGAUGACUGCCCUAUGGGUUGUAAACUUCUUUUAUAUGGGAAUAAAAUGUUCCACGUGUGGGAUUUUGUAUGUACCAUAUGAAUAAGGAUCGGCUAACUCCGUGCCAGCAGCCGCGGUAAUACGUAGGAUCCGAUCGUUAGCCGGAUUUAUUGGGUUUAAAGGGAGCGUAGGUGGAUUGUUAAUGCAGUUGUGAAAGUUUGCGGCUCAACCGUAAAAUUGCAGUUGAAACUGGCAGUCUUGAGUACAGUAGAGGUGGGCGGAAUUCGUGGUGUAGCGGUGAAAUGCUUAGAUAUCACGAAGAACUCCGAUUGCGAAGGCAGUUCACUGGACUGCAACUGACACUGAGGCUCGAAAGUGUGGGUAUCAAACAGGAUUAGAUACCCCUGUAGUC
rnacentral:rRNA from 1 species